CGCGGCCUAUCAGCUUGUUGGUGGGGUAGCGGCCUACCAAGGCAGCGACGGGUAGCUGGUUUGAGAGAACGAUCAGCCACACUGGGACUGAGACACGGCCCAGACUCCUACGGGAGGCAGCAGUAGGGAAUCUUGCGCAAUGGGCGAAAGCCUGACGCAGCAACGCCGCGUGCGGGAUGACGGCCUCCGUGGUUGUAAACCGCUUUCAGCAGGGACGAAAAUGACGGUACCUGCAGAAGAAGCCCCGGCUAACUACGUGCCAGCAGCCGCGGUAAUACGUAGGGGGCGAGCGUUGUCCGGAAUCAUUGGGCGUAAAGAGCUCGUAGGCGGUUCAGUAAGUCGGGUGUGAAAGCUCCGAGCUCAACUCGGAGAGGCCACCCGAUACUGCUGUGACUAGAAUCCAGUAGGGGAGCGUGGAACUCCUGGUGUAGCGGUGAAAUGCGCAGAUAUCAGGAAGAACACCAGCAGCGAAGGCGGCGCUCUGGGCUGGAAUUGACGCUGAGGAGCGAAAGUGUGGGUAGCAAACAGGAUUAGAUACCCUGGUAGUCCACACCGUAAACGUUGGGCACUAGGUGUGGGGAGGAAUCAACCCUCUCUGUGCCGUAGCUAACGCAUUAAGUGCCCCGCCUGGGGAGUACGG
rnacentral:rRNA from 1 species